AAAAAACACCCCAAGAGCCAUCCGUGCUCUCUGCCCCUCCUGUGGGGACCAUGUGGGGUUAAGAAUGGCUCAGUGGGGAAGGAGAGGGCUCUUGUCCCCAGUCCCAUGUCACCCUGUCCCUUAGAUAGGGAGGUGGGCUGCAGAGAUUGGUGUGAGGAGAGGGUGGGUUUGGGAAUUGGAGCUCCUCCAAGGAGCUCCUCCUAAGAUUGAGAGCUGCAGCUGUAAUGGCUGCUGGUUGGGAGGUAAGUGCCAUCGCUAAUUUAAAAGUCCUUGCCAUCUGGAAGCAGGCUUUGUCAACAGCAGCUGAGAAAAGCGGACUGUGCCUCUGCUGGCCCUCUAGGCCCUCGUCAGAGCGUGCCUCUCCCCAAGGCACUCGGGCCUGGGUGAUUGUUGCACCUCUGGCCUUGGCGUUUCCUCUUUGCAGCACUUUGCCUACCUCCCCCAAGCCCUGAGCCACUGCCUGCUGGGGCUCCUACUGAGGUUCUGGCAACACCUCUGCACCUGCCACCCCUGGGAGGAAAGAGGGCCACACGGGAAGUGUCUGCAGGGAGAGGUGACACUCGGCAGCCUGAGUUCAGGAGAGGUGCUCAGAGCUUCAGGCAAAGGGGCCUUCAGAGGAGGGAAAUGGAGCAAUGUGUCACAGGCAGACAGGGUCAGGACUGCCACCCCAGGCCCCGUGGGAGGCCAGCUGAGGGCACAGAGCUGCUCGGUGCAGGCUUCAUGCUUUGAUCCGGAAAGAGCAGCUGUCCGCAGGCCUCUGUCUCCAAGAGGCCCGUCACACAGGAGGACCGCUGGAAACAUAUCGACACGUGCAGUCUCCCCUCCAAGCUAUUCACACUGAUUGUGGAAUCUCAAACACAAGUGUCAGGUGUGUGUCAUCCCAGCAGGCCCUGUGCUGUGAAUAGAGUCAUGUGCAGCACAAAGGGAAUGUGGCAUGUGGCCCCAGGAAGAGUUCACCCGGCCAGGGGGCAGUUGUUCAGUUGCCUGGGGCUGACACUGACCACUGGCCUCUGGGGUGUCCUACAGCCCAAAUGCCCACCUUGCCCUCCUCACAUCUCAGUCAGGGGAGGCCAUGCCCAGGCCAAUGUGCUGUCAGAGCUUGCAGUGGGGGCAGUACUUCCUCGGAGGGCCUGGGAGGUGCCGGGGAUGCCCCAGCGCUUCUCCUCCUGCCUGGCCCUGGCAUGGCCCAGUGCCUCUAGGAUCAACUUACAAUCCGUGGAGCAGCCCUGGGAAACCCAAACCUGGCUCAGGACAGCGUAGGGGCAGGAGGGCUGUAAAUCAUCCCAGGCUAAGCCUCCAUGGGUGCUGGGUCCUGCGGAGCCUGGCUAUGGGCUCAGUUAGAACCACUGAGAAAGUCAGCGACACCCCACAGAAGGCCACUGCAGCUAAGUAAACACCUGAGAAAGAAACUGUUCCAGAAGAGAUGACGUGGGCUUCCAGGAGCACGGAGGAGGUGGCACUUGAACUUUGAGGAAACUCCUUGGAUGAGAUAAAGUGGGGGUUGGAGGUGGCGGGAAGAGGGUAACCCUGGGAAAGUCAACGUCAGAACGCAUGGCAGAAGACUGUGGAAGAGGCAGGGGAGGGGCUUUGGGGACCACUGUGGACAGAGCUCUGAAAGCACCCUGGCCAAAGCCUCUCCUGAGGUGACAGAGCGUGGGAGGAGGCUGCGGGGGCACUGGGCCUGCGUGCCAUCCUCACCCUGUUCCCCGCUGGCGCCAGGCCCUGCCUUCUUGGUACAUGUGCCAACAGGAGAGCCCUCACCAGCUGAUCUUGUCACUCUCCGUGGUGACUAUGCCUUGGCCAGCUGUGGCCCCUAGUUUCUAGCAGUGUUUCUCAGUGUCCUUGGCCCUUCUGAGAAGGCAGGCGGGAGGCACGCGGUGCCCUGUUCUUCCCCGUUUGUCCAGUUGCUUGCGAAGCAGAGAAUGAGUAGGAAUGAACCCGAGUGCCUUCACCCACCCUGUCCCCCACAUCAGGACAGGCUUGAGGCCUCUCUGGGCGUGAGCGAGGAGACCAGGCUGCUCUAACUUCUGAAGAGUGGGCUCCGGCUCAAGACUCCAAUCGGCCAGAAGCCCACAGAGAUCAAAGCACUAGCAAGUUCAGCUGUCCUGGCCCUCAGGCAGAACCCACUGGAGUGCCUGGGUGUGGCUCCACCCACAUGCCCCACUGUCAGCCCAGGCAGGAGCCUUCCUGGCCAGGCUCAGGAGCUGCCUGCAGCCCAGCCAGGCCAUCACCCAGCCCCGAUGCAUCCUGGCACUGCACACUUACUCUUCACAAGCACUUAUAUGCGGAUGGCCUCUGAGACCCUGCCUCCCUGGUCUGCUGAGGCCAGGCCAGGUCUCCCACGGGGCUGGGCAGCUCCCCACCCCACCGCCUGGCACAGUUAGGUCUCAGAUCUCCCAUGUGGUGUUUGAUGUCGGCUUUUGUUCCUACCUUGGGAGUUUGGAUUUUUUCCUCUGGUGUCUUUGUUUACCUUCCUCACUGUUCUACCUCCUGGCCAGGUCUCAGCUUAGCUUCCCUGGUGUGGGGUGUUUUUCAAGCCUUCCAGCCACAGCUGUCUCCCCUCAGGCUGGAUGGCUCAGGGGUGACAGGGCUUCACCCUCUGACUGCAGACCCCUGGUGGGCACAUCUCACAGGCUUCCGUCUUGCUGAGUUGGGUACAGAGGCAGAAGUGAGGUGUGGAGGAAAGUCAGAGGGAAAUCUGCUUCAGAAAGGAAGGGUCUUUAGACACGAAGCCUGGAGGGCCCUUCCCCGCCUGCACGGGAGCUGCCAUCGUGGGGCUCAUGCACGUCAGGACCUUCCCACAUCCAAACUCACCUUCCAGCAGGGAUUUUGACUUUGGAUGACAAGGCUUUAUUUGUAAAUAUGCUCUUAAUAUGCAACUUUGAGAAUAAAAUAGAAACAUCAUGUAUUUUAAAAUAUAAGAUGAAGUGUGAUGCACUGUAUACAAUUUAAUAUAUAUUUUUAGGAUUUUGUUAUUUAAGAAAAUGGAAUGUAAUGGUACUUUUACAAAAGAGAAAAAAUGUUAUUUUUACUUUCUGGAAAAAAUAAAUAUUCUCAUUGUUGUAGAAACA